rnacentral:rRNA from 1 species
GAUGAACGCUGGCGGCGUGCCUAAUACAUGCAAGUCGAGCGAACAGACGAGGAGCUUGCUCCUCUGACGUUAGCGGCGGACGGGUGAGUAACACGUGGAUAACCUACCUAUAAGACUGGGAUAACUUCGGGAAACCGGAGCUAAUACCGGAUAAUAUAUUGAACCGCAUGGUUUAAUAGUGAAAGACGGUUUUGCUGUAACUUAUAGAUGGAUCCGCGCCGCAUUAGCUAGUUGGUAAGGUAACGGCUUACCAAGGCGACGAUGCGUAGCCGACCUGAGAGGGUGAUCGGCCACACUGGAACUGAGACACGGUCCAGACUCCUACGGGAGGCAGCAGUAGGGAAUCUUCCGCAAUGGGCGAAAGCCUGACGGAGCAACGCCGCGUGAGUGAUGAAGGUCUUCGGAUCGUAAAACUCUGUUAUUAGGGAAGAACAAAUGUGUAAGUAACUAUGCACGUCUUGACGGUACCUAAUCAGAAAGCCACGGCUAACUACGUG